CCCUUAGAUGUUCUGGGCCGCACGCGCGCUACACUGACGAAUGCAACGAGCUUAUAACCUUGGCCGAAAGGUCCGGGUAAUCUCCAAAUUUCGUCGUGAUGGGGAUAGAUUAUUGCAAUUAUUAAUCUUCAACGAGGAAUGCCUAGUAAGCGCAAGUCAUCAGCUUGCGUUGAUUACGUCCCUGCCCUUUGUACACACCGCCCGUCGCUCCUACCGAUUGAAUGGUCCGGUGAAGCGUUCGGACCGUGGCCUUUGGACGGUUCGCCGUCUGUUGGCUGCGGGAAGUUCGUUAAACCUUAUCAUUUAGAGGAAGGAGAAGUCGUANCA
rnacentral:rRNA from 1 species